AUUGAACGCUAGCGGCAUGCCUUACACAUGCAAGUCGAACGGCAGCACGGGGCACCCUCGUGUCGAGUGGCGACCGGGUGAGUGAUGUAAAGGCACGUGCCCCGUACCGGGGGAUAUCUACGCAAAAGCGUAGACAAUACCGCAUACCCGCUACGGGGGUAAGGGGCAGAUCGCAAGACUUCACCAUAUUGUUGCUGCCGCUAACGGAUUAGCUCGUUGGUGAGGUACAGGCUCACCAAGGCAUCGAUCCGUAGCUGGCUUGAGAGUAUGACCAGCCACACUGGGACUGAGACACGGCCCAGACUCCUACGGGAGGCAGCAGUAGGGAAUUUUGGACAAUGGGGGCAACCCUGAUGCAGCAAUGCCGCGUGUGCGAUGAAGGCCUUCGGGUUGUAAAGCACUUUUGUCGGGAACGAAACGGUGCCGGAGAAUACCUGGCGCCACUGACGGUACCUGCAGAAUAAGCAACGGCUAACUACGUG
rnacentral:rRNA from 1 species